rnacentral:tRNA from 1 species
GGUUCCUUAGCCGAGUGGUUAGGCGCCGGUCUGCAAAACCGUUAACAGCGGUUCGAAUCCGCUAGGAACCU